UACGGAGGGAGCUAGCGUUGUUCGGAAUUACUGGGCGUAAAGCGCGCGUAGGCGGCUUUGUAAGUCAGAGGUGAAAUCCCGGGGCUCAACCCCGGAACUGCCUUUGAAACUACAUCGCUAGAGUCUUGGAGAGGUGAGUGGAAUUCCGAGUGUAGAGGUGAAAUUCGUAGAUAUUCGGAAGAACACCAGUGGCGAAGGCGACUCACUGGACAAGUACUGACGCUGAGGUGCGAAAGCGUGGGGAGCAAACAGG
rnacentral:rRNA from 1 species